UACGGGGGGAGCAAGCGUUGUUCGGAUUUACUGGCGUAAAGGGGCGCGUAGGCGGUCAGCACAAGUCAGUUGUGAAAUCUCCGGGCUUAACUCGGAAAGGUCAACUGAUACUGUGCGACUAGAGUGCGGAAGGGGCAACUGGAAUUCUUGGUGUAGCGGUGAAAUGCGUAGAUAUCAAGAGGAACACCUGCGGCGAAGGCGGGUUGCUGGGCCGACACUGACGCUGAGGCGCGAAAGCCAGGGGAGCGAACGGG
rnacentral:rRNA from 1 species